rnacentral:rRNA from 1 species
GAGGGGUGCAAACGUUAUUCGGAUUUACUGGGUGUAAAGGGUGUGUAGACGGGUUGUUAAGUUCGUUGUUAAACCUUCCGGCCUAACCGGAAGCUCGCGAUGAAAACUGGCAGUCUUGAGGAUGGAAGAGAGAAGUGGAAUUCUCGGAGUAGCGGUAGAAUGCGUAGAUCUCGAGAGGAACACCGAUGGCGAAGGCAGCUUCUUGGUCCAUUCCUGACGUUGAAACACGAAAGCGUGGGGAGCAAACAGGAUUAGGUACCUGGGUAGUCCACGCCGUAAACGAUGAUCACUAGAUGUUGGCUCUGUUUUUGCAGAGUUGGUAUCGAAGCUAACGCGUUAAGUGAUCCACCUGGGAACCACGAUCGCAAAGAUUAA